rnacentral:misc_RNA from 1 species
AAGUCGUAACAAGGUUUCCGUAGGUGAACCUGCGGAAGGAUCAUUAACAAAAUCAAAACCACCCACACACCCUGUUGUCAGCAGCGCUCCCCUUUUCCGCGCGAGAGGGGGAGGGCGACCUCUUUUCGUCUUUGCGAGGGCAAAGGCGAGAGAGUCUAUGAAAACACACACGAUCAUGAUGACCAAAAGCAACAACGAGUAAAGAGAAACAACUUUUAACAAUGGAUCUCUUGGCUCUU